AUUGAACGCUGGCGGCAGGCCUAACACAUGCAAGUCGAGCGGAGCGGCGGACGGGUGCGUAAUGCCUAGGAAUCUGACUGGUAGUGGGGGAUAACGUCCGGAAACGGGCGCUAAUACCGAAUACUAUCGGAUGAGCCUGGGUCGGAGUAGCUAGUGGGUGGGGUAAAGGGCUACCAAGGCGACGAUCCGUAGCUGGUCUGAGAGGAUGAUCAGUCACACUGGAACUGAGACACGGUCCAGACUCCUACGGGAGGCAGCAGUGGGGAAUAUUGGACAAUGGGCGAAAGCCUGAUCCAGCCAUGCCGCGUGUAUGAAGAAGGUCUUCGGAUUGUAAAGCACUUUAAGUUGGGAGGCGUUACCAGCAGAAUAAGCACCGGCUAACUUCGUGCCAGCAGCCGCGGUAAUUC
rnacentral:rRNA from 1 species